UGGGGAAUCUUGGACAAUGGGGGCAACCCUGAUCCAGCCAUGCCGCGUGAUCGAUGAAGGCCUUAGGGUUGUAAAGAUCUUUCAGCUGGGAAGAUAAUGACGGUACCAGCAGAAGAAGCCCCGGCUAACUCCGUGCCAGCAGCCGCGGUAAUACGGAGGGGGCUAGCGUUGUUCGGAAUUACUGGGCGUAAAGCGCACGUAGGCGGAUCAGCAAGUUAGGGGUGAAAUCCCGGGGCUCAACCCCGGAACUGCCUUUAAAACUGUUGGUCUGGAGUCCGAGAGAGGUGAGUGGAAUUCCGAGUGUAGAGGUGAAAUUCGUAGAUAUUCGGAGGAACACCAGUGGCGAAGGCGGCUCACUGGCUCGGUACUGACGCUGAGGUGCGAAAGCGUGGGGAGCAAACAGG
rnacentral:rRNA from 1 species